UACAGAGGGUGCGAGCGUUAAUCGGAAUUACUGGGCGUAAAGCGUGCGUAGACGGUUAUUUAAGUCGGAUGUGAAAGCCCCGGGCUCAACCUGGGAAUUGCAUUCGAGACUGAAUAGCUAGGGUGCGGUAGAGGGAAGCGGAAUUUCUGGUGUAGCGGUGAAAUGCGUAGAUAUCGGAAGGAACAUCAGUGGCGAAAGCGGCUUCCUGGACCAGCACCGACGUUCAGGCACGAAAGCGUGGGGAGCAAACAGG
rnacentral:rRNA from 1 species